UACGGGGGGAGCAAGCGUUGUUCGGAAUUACUGGGCGUAAAGCGUGCGCAGGCGGUGAGCUGUGUCCGAUGUGAAAGCCCCGGGCUUAACCUGGGAAUGGCAUUGGAAACUGGCUCGCUGGAGUGUGGCAGAGGGGGGUGGAAUUCCGCGUGUAGCAGUGAAAUGCGUAGAGAUGCGGAGGAACACCGAUGGCGAAGGCAGCCCCCUGGGCUAACACUGACGCUCAGGCACGAAAGCGUGGGGAGCAAACAGG
rnacentral:rRNA from 1 species